GACGAACGCUGGCGGCGUGCCUAAUACAUGCAAGUCGAGCGGACUGAAUGGGAGCUUGCUCUUGUUCGGUCAGCGGCGGACGGGUGAGUAACACGUGGGCAACCUGCCCGCAAGACCGGGAUAACUCCGGGAAACCGGAGCUAAUACCGGAUAACACCGAAGACCGCAUGGUCUUUGGUUGAAAGGCGGCGCAAGCUGCCACUUGCGGAUGGGCCCGCGGCGCAUUAGCUAGUUGGUGAGGUAACGGCUCACCAAGGCGACGAUGCGUAGCCGGCCUGAGAGGGUGACCGGCCACACUGGGACUGAGACACGGCCCAGACUCCUACGGGAGGCAGCAGAGGGAAUCUUCCGCAAUGGGCGAAAGCCUGACGGAGCGACGCCGCGUGAGCGAAGAAGGCCUUCGGGUCGUAAAGCUCUGUUGUGAGGGACGAAGGAGCGCCGUUUGAAGAAGGCGGCGCGGUGACGGUACCUCACGAGGAAGCCCCGGCUAACUACGUG
rnacentral:rRNA from 1 species